UAAUAAUUUAUUGUUUCCAAGGAGGUACAACCAUAUUAAAUUCCUUACCCUUUUAAUACAGUGACUUGAGAAUUGACAAAACCCACAAACACUUUACUGAGAAAUAAGGAUGAGUGCAUACCUCAAAAUCAUUAACCAUUUAUUUAAAAUCUAAAAUGCCACCUCGUUAGCUCCAUUGACCGAUAAGAGAGAAGUGGGUGACAAGUGUGUGUUUGUGUGUCAUGCAGUCAUUCCUUUCCUGGAUCCUUCCUGUUUGUCUGACACCUACACUGCAACAUUCCAUUCCAAAUCAGUGAGAAGAAGUGACACUAAGGAUGCACAUUACACAACAAGCACCUUGCCAUUUCUAUAACUGAAAGGUUGUAACAGUAGCCCUGCUGAGCUACACUGAAAGGUUGUAACAGUAGCCCUGCUGAGCUACACUGAAAGGUUGUAACAGUAGCCCUGCUGAGCUACACUGAAAGGUUGUAACAGUAGCCCUGCUGAGCUACACUGAAAGGUUGUAACAGUAGCCCUGCUGAGCUACACUGAAAGGUUGUAACAGUAGCCCUGCUGAGCUACACUGAAAGGUUGUAACAGUAGCCCUGCUGAGCUACACUGAAAGGUUGUAACAGUAGCCCUGCUGAGCUACACUGAAAGGUUGUAACAGUAGCCCUGCUGAGCUACACUGAAAGGUUGUAACAGUAGCCCUGCUGAGCUACACUGAAAGGUUGUAACAGUAGCCCUGCUGAGCUACACUGAAAGGUUGUAACAAUAGCCCUGCUGAGCUACACUGAAAGGUUGUAACAGUAGCCCUGCUGAGCUACACUGAAAUGAUCCUCUUCCACUUUCCAACUCACUGCACCAUCUUUCCAUUGGCAAACAAACUUUUCCAAAACCGCUCAAAAAAAUGCCCAAACCACUGAGAAUAGAAAACAUGCACUGGUUUAUGUCAUGCGGUGGAGAUGCAAGCUAGUGGAUACUUGUGUUUCAUUAUGAGGGGAACUAUAUGACAAGUUUCCAGUUUUCCUUCGGAGACGACUACAGAUGAGCACUGAUGAACACAUCAAACAGAACUCUAAGAGGAAGAAGAAAUAAGAAA